CUGGCUCAGGAUGAACGCUAGCGGCAGGCUUAACACAUGCAAGUCGAGGGGCAGCGCGAGUAGCAAUACUUGGCGGCGACCGGCGCAAGGGUGCGUAACGCGUGAGCAACAUGCCCGUAUCAGGGGGAUAAUCCAGGGAAACUUGGUCUAAUACCCCAUAGUAAUUUUGUAAGGCAUCUUAUAAGAUUUAAAGCUUUGGUGGAUACGGAUUGGCUCGCGUGACAUUAGCUGGAUGGUAAGGUAACGGCUUACCAUGGCUAUGAUGUCUAGGGGUUCUGAGAGAAGGUCCCCCACACUGGAACUGAGACACGGUCCAGACUCCUACGGGAGGCAGCAGUGAGGAAUAUUGGACAAUGGAUGGAAAUCUGAUCCAGCCAUGCCGCGUGAAGGAAGAAAGGUCCUAUGGAUUGUAAACUUCUUUUGUAUGGGAGCAAUAAGGCCUACGAGUAGGUUGAUGAGAGUACCAUACGAAUAAGCACCGGCUAACUCCGUGCCAGCAGCAGC
rnacentral:rRNA from 1 species